rnacentral:misc_RNA from 1 species
AAGACUAUAGACCUGCGGAGUACCUGCGGAGGGAUCAUUACAGGACUCGCAAGACUCCUUAAACCCCUGUGAACUUACUGUUUAUACGUUGCUUCGGCGGGUGCUCCGGGGUCCGCCCCGGGGCGCUGCGCCCGCCGGCAGCCUACUUAAUUCUGUUUCUCUGCGUUGGCAUCUCGAGUAAGCAAAAUAAGUUAAAACUUUUAACAACGGAUCUCU